GACGAACCGUGCGAACGUUGUUCGGAAUCACUGGGCUUAAAGGGCGCGUAGGCGGACGAUCAAGUCAGGAGUGAAAUCUUUCGGCUCAACCGGAAAAGUGCUUUUGAUACUGGUCGUCUUGAGGGAGAUAGGGGCAUGUGGAACUUCCGGUGGAGCGGUGAAAUGCGUUGAUAUCGGAAGGAACGCCGGUGGCGAAAGCGACGUGCUGGACCUCUUCUGACGCUGAGGCGCGAAAGCUAGGGGAGCGAACGG
rnacentral:rRNA from 1 species